CCUACGGGAGGCAGCAGUGGGGAAUAUUGCACAAUGGGCGCAACCCUGAUGCAGCAAUGCCGCGUGAAGGAUGAAGGUUUUCGGAUUGUAAACUUCUUUUGUACGGGACGAAUAAGGUGACAGUACCGUAAUAAUAAGCCACUACUAACUACCCGACAGCAGCCGCGGUAAUACGUAGGUGGCAAGCGUUAGCCGGAUAUACUGGUUGUAAAGGGCGAUUAGGCGGGAAUGAAAGUGAGAUGUGAAAAUUAUGUGCUAAACCGAUAGCGUGCAUUUGAAACUGCAGUUCUUGAGAGAUGGAGCGGCAGGCGGAAUUUCUGGUGUAGCGGUGAAAUGCGUAGAUAUCGGAAGGAACACCAGUGGCGAAGGCGGCUUGCUGGACAUUAACUGACGCUGAGGCACGAAAGCGUGGGGAGCAAACAGGAUUAGAUACCCGUGUAGUC
rnacentral:rRNA from 1 species